CAAGCCGGUUUCGUUCUUCACCUCUCAGAAGCCAACCGCUCUCCCCGGCUGCCGGAGGCGAAGAAGCGGCUACUAGGUGCACCCCUGACGUGAACCGCACUUGUAGGCUGCAAAGCGCGGCUUCUGCAGAAAGACGCCGGCAACCACCGCUUCCCUGCGGACAGCUGCGGAGAGCCGGAGUCUGCGUCUCUAGCGGACUGCAUCAUGGCGAAAAGCUGUUCCAGCGUGUCUCGCAGGGAGAAAGCUUGCCAGCACAGUGCACGUAUCCCGCUCUUUUCAGAAACAUGCAUUUGCUGAACACUUCAAAAAACACUACUUUUUCCUAGGCAAGCUUCAAACUGCUGUCAGACGUCUGUGCUCUCUGUUUUCUGCUGCCCAGCUCGUUGCACUAGAGUGCACAGCCCACCCUGGCAUUCAGUGCACAGUGAAGGCAAUUGCAAAAAACCAGCAGCUGCUCACUGCUAUACUCAAGGCGCUGUCUGUGUCCUUGCUUCCCGAGCAACUCAGCGCAGCCCGUCUAUUCUGCAGCUGCCAUCGUUUUCUCUGCAUCUCCGAAGCUCAAGGCACGAACAGGGUUUGUUGGCUGCAGAAGAAUUUUUAGGUUCACUUGUGGCAAUUUUCCUUGGCAUGGGUCUCCUCAGUGGAUCUAUCUGAUAUAAGCACCUUUUUGCCAUAACUUGAUUAUCAUAAGACAUUGUUUUUAACUUUAAUUUCCUUAUUUUUUUAUACCCUUUUGGUCAGAACACUUUUUUAAAGGCAAAUGAGUAUUUGUUAAACUUUUUUUUUUUUUAGAUCAUACAACACUUUAAACUUGAUGGAAAAUCUGAAACUCUUAUACAGAACAGCAGGACUGCAAGGCAAAGGCACCUGUUUUCUUUUUAUAGACAUUGAGAUCAAAGAUGAGUCUUUCUUAGAAUACUUGAACAUUGUCAUCAGGGGAGUGUUUGAACACUUCCUGUCCUCAUUUGAUAUGGACUGCACUGCUGAUACAAAGAUGGAAAUUGUGCAGUGUAUGGGCUCAUUCCAGGAUGGAGUGGCAGAAAAAUGUUCUGAUUACUUUCAAAGAUACAGACGUUCUACACAUGUGACUCCCAAAUCCUACCUGAUUUUUAUUCAGGGAUAUAAAACCACAUACAAAGAAAAGCAUGCUGAAAUGCAAAUAUUAUCAAACAGGUAGACUACUCAGGUUACUUCUGUUUUUCUGUAGUUUUCUUCCCCAGGUAGCAUAUUCUGAUAAGUUUCAUUUCGAUGCAUGGCUUGUCUCCUCACACAGAAAAAAAAAAAAAAAAAAAAAAAAAAAAAAAAAAAGUAAAGUAUUUUUAAUUCCUAAAAUUAUGUGAAGUUGUAACUUAUUCAAAUAUUGUAGUUGCUCUAGUCAUAUAAGAUAAAGACUACAUAUAUUUGGGGGGGCAGGGGAGAAGAGUAGUGAUGCAUGAAAAAUAGAGGUAGAGGGACUAGGAGGUGAAUAUAAAUGAUACCCAUAUGUUUCUAAAGAGUAAAAGAAGGCAUCUACAUGUAAUUUUAUAUUAUAUUGAUAAUAGCAUUUAAUUUGUCAGGUGGCAAAUUUUGUUUCCUAAGUGGACACUUGUAACCGCCUGUUAUGAAUAUGUAAGGAAUGUCCUAAGUGGUUUUGUGAGCACAGAGCCUUACUUAGACUCCUGAGCUUUUUAAUCGUGCAUUAUUAAGGUGGUUUUGAUAUACUUAUUUCUAUUUUCAGAUGUUUUAUUAAAGUAAUGAUAUCUAUUUGCUGAUAUAUCUUCAUGUCAGGAGCACCCAGCUGUAAUGUAAAAUUAGCAAUCAGUGCAUCAGUUGGUAUUACCCUUAAGAAAAACUGCCUUUUCAGUUUUGAAAGAUUAUCAAAAAGAACUAGAAACCUUAAAGAAAGGCUUAAACUUGUUUAUUUGGCUUUGAAACAUUCUUUGUCUUCAAAGUCAAAUUGAGUUUGAAACCUGUAGUUAUGUUAGGGGUGAAGACUUGUACAACAGAAGGGUGUUGCCCUGUUUUCUACCUUCAGAUUUACCAAGUUAGUUCACGGAGUCCAAUUUCUUCCACUUAAACUUAUUUGCACUGUCUGAAUUUGUCAGCAGUUACACUUUGUCUGUUCUCCUGUAUUUGUUCAGCUGUCCAAGUACUGCAUAGCCUUCACAACAGCAGUCUCUCUAGAGGCCUUGUAAGCUGUCUGAAAGGUCCCGGGUGAAGAAUUUCUGAUUAAAAAAAAGCACUGUUGAAGGGGCAUUUUAAUGCUGAAUCAGAGAGGUCUUAUCUCAAUACUAUUUAUCAUUUCCUCUCUUUUGUUUGGUCUUGGUUUCUUUUCAGUUUCCAUUUCAAAUAAGAAAUAUUGAUUGGUUAUAAUUUUCAGAAUUUCGGUGAUCAGAAAAUGCUUUCUGCUGUAUGGAACUCAGUUCUUUGAUUAUUGGCUCAAGAGGGACAGUGAGUAACAUUUCUAGAAUAACACAUAGGAUUUUUAUGCAAUGAUAAAGGCAUACUGUUUGAUCAGAGGCAGGUAAAAUUUCAAGCCACAAAUUUUAUUAAUGUACUUUAUUGUCCACUUUAUUGAUUCUGAAGAUAUCAGAAAUGUAAAAUUCCUGUCCAAGUUUUAUUUUUGGUGUAAAACAUAACUUGCAAUUGUUCAUUCUGAUCAAUAUGAUUUAUUCUAUAGAUGGAAAGCAGAGUGUAAAUUACAUAGUGAAUGAGAUGCUUUUUAUUUUGCUUUUUAACUUCAGAAUAAAUACUGGUCU